GCAUUCUUGAAGGCAUAAGUUAAAACUCAAAAGAAGCAAAUUAAGCAUAUAAAGAAAAGGUCACUUUGGUCUAGAAGUUUGGAGGAGAUUAUGGAGAUGCUUGUAGACAUGGUGCAAUUUUUGAAUUCGGAGAUAAACGAUGUCUUUGGCGCUGUAGAUGGCCAUAGACCAUUAGUUGGACACAAGAACAAUCACCAAAGAUUGGGCCCUGUAGGCCUUGCUUUGCAC